rnacentral:rRNA from 1 species
AGAGUUUGAUCCUGGCUCAGGAUGAACGCUGGCGGCAUGCCUAAUACAUGCAAGUCGAACGAGGAUCCUUGUGGAUCCUAGUGGCGAACGGGUGAGUAACACGUAGGGAACCUGCCCGCGCACCGGGAAUACGCUCUGGAAACGGAGAACAAAUCCCGAUGUACAGGAAGGAGGCAUCUUCUUUCUGUGAAACAUCCUGUAAGGGAUGGGGCGCGGAUGGACCUGCGGUGCAUUAGUUGGUUGGCGAGGGUAAAGGCCCACCAAGACGAUGAUGCAUAGCCGGCCUGAGAGGGCGGACGGCCACAUUGGGACUGAGACACGGCCCAGACUCCUGCGGGAGGCAGCAGUAGGGAAUUUUCGUCAAUGGGCGCAAGCCUGAACGAGCGAUGCCGCGUGAGUGAAGAAGGCCUUCGGGUCGUAAAGCUCUGUUGCGGGGGAAAAAAGGCAUCUGCAGGAAAUGGUAGAUGACAGAUGGUGCCCCGCCAGAAAGUCACGGCUAACUACGUGCCAGCAGCCGCGGUAAUACGUAGGUGGCGAGCGUUAUCCGGAAUGAUUGGGCGUAAAGGGUGCGCAGGCGGUCCUGCAAGUCUGGAGUGAAACGUAUGAGCUCAACUCAUGCAUGGCUCUGGAAACUGGAGGACUGG